rnacentral:rRNA from 1 species
AACGAACGCUGGCGGCAUGCCUAAUACAUGCAAGUCGAACGAACACUUCGGUGUUAGUGGCGCACGGGUGCGUAACGCGUGGGAAUCUACCCUUGGGUUCGGAAUAACAGUUAGAAAUGACUGCUAAUACCGGAUGAUGACGUAAGUCCAAAGAUUUAUCGCCCAAGGAUGAGCCCGCGUAAGAUUAGCUAGUUGGUAAGGUAAAGGCUUACCAAGGCUACGAUCUUUAGCUGGUCUGAGAGGAUGAUCAGCCACACUGGGACUGAGACACGGCCCAGACUCCUACGGGAAGCAGCAGUAGGGAAUAUUGGACAAUGGGGGCAACCCUGAUCCAGCAAUGCCGCGUGAGUGAUGAAGGCCUUAGGGUUGUAAAGCUCUUUUACCCGAGAUGAUAAUGACAGUAUCGGGAGAAUAAGCUCCGGCUAACUCCGUG